UACGUAGGGUGCAAGCGUUAAUCGGAAUUACUGGGCGUAAAGCGUGCGCAGGCGGCUUUGCAAGACAGAUGUGAAAUCCCCGGGCUCAACCUGGGAACUGCAUUUGUGACUGCAUGGCUGGAGUGCGGCAGAGGGGGAUGGAAUUCCGCGUGUAGCAGUGAAAUGCGUAGAUAUGCGGAGGAACACCGAUGGCGAAGGCAAUCCCCUGGGCCUGCACUGACGCCCAUGCACGAAAGCGUGGGGAGCAAACAGG
rnacentral:rRNA from 1 species